CAUUUUUAAGAAGCUUAUUCCAGGUCCAAAAGUUAGAGAUGCAUUGUUGUUUAGGAAGUCAGUGGAGAAAGAGGAGGAAGAGAGUGAGAAAGAUGGAUUUUUUAAGAGACUUUUGCGAGAUAGUAGUAGAGGUGAGGCUGAGGAGGCGGCAUCGAAUUCAGAUGGGUUUUUCAAGAGGCUUUUGAGAGAUAGCAGUAGAGGAGACGAUGAGGAGUUGACAUCAACCUCAGAUGGCUUUUUUAAGAGGCUUUUGAGGGAUAGUAGUAAAGGUGAGGAUGAGGAGUUGACGUCUAGCUCGGAAGGAUUUUUCAAGAGGUUGUUUCGUGAUAGCAAGAGUGAUGAUGACGACAAAUCUGUUUCUAAAUCAGUGGAAGAUGAUGAAAAGGAGGGUUUCUUUAGGAAAUUUUUUAAGGACAAGAAGGAUGAGCAUGAAGAAAGGGUGAGCUCUGAAGAGAAAUGUUCAAAAUCUGCAGAGGAUGAAGAAAAAGAGGGGUUCUUCCGCAAAUUAUUUAAGGAAAAGUUUGAGGACAAGAAAGAUGGAAAUGGUAAAAUUGAUGAGGGAAAUGC
rnacentral:misc_RNA from 1 species